rnacentral:rRNA from 1 species
GACGAACGCUGGCGGCGUGCUUAAUACAUGCAAGUCGAACGGAAAGGUCCUGCUCUUGUGGGGUGCUCGAGUGGCGAACGGGUGAGUAACACGCGAGUAACCUGUCCUUGACUUUGGGAUAACUUCAGGAAACUGGGGCUAAUACCGGAUAUGAGCUCCUGCUGCACGGUGGGGGUUGGAAAGUUUCGGCGGUUGGGGAUGGACUCGCGGCUUAUCAGCUUGUUGGUGGGGUAGUGGCUUACCAAGGCUUUGACGGGUAGCCGGCCUGAGAGGGUGACCGGCCACAUUGGGACUGAGAUACGGCCCAGACUCCUACGGGAGGCAGCAGUGGGGAAUAUUGCACAAUGGGCGGGAGCCUGAUGCAGCAACGCCGCGUGCGGGAUGACGGCCUUCGGGUUGUAAACCGCUUUCGCCUGUGACGAAGCGUGAGUGACGGUAAUGGGUAAAGAAGCACCGGCUAACUACGUG